rnacentral:rRNA from 1 species
UACGUAGGUGGCGAGCGUUGUCCGGAUUUACUGGGCGUAAAGGGCGUGCAGGCGGCCCGUUAAGUGCAUGGUGAAAGCUCCCGGCUCAACUGGGAGAGGUCUGUGUAUACUGGCGGGCUUGAGGGGGGUAGAGGAAAGUGGAAUUCCCGGUGUAGUGGUGAUAUGCGUAGAUAUCGGGAGGAACACCUGUGGCGAAGGCGGCAUCCUGGACCGGCAUUGACGCUGAGGCGCGAAAGCUAGGGGAGCAAACAGGG